rnacentral:rRNA from 1 species
UGGGGAAUAUUGCACAAUGGGCGCAAGCCUGAUGCAGCCAUGCCGCGUGUGUGAAGAAGGCCUUCGGGUUGUAAAGCACUUUCAGCGAGGAGGAAGGUGGUGAACUUAAUACGUCAUCAAUUGACGUUACUCGCAGAAGAAGCACCGGCUAACUCCGUGCCAGCAGCCGCGGUAAUACGGAGGGUGCAAGCGUUAAUCGGAAUUACUGGGCGUAAAGCGCACGCAGGCGGUUUGUUAAGUCAGAUGUGAAAUCCCCGGGCUCAACCUGGGAACUGCAUUUGAAACUGGCAAGCUAGAGUCUCGUAGAGGGGGGUAGAAUUCCAGGUGGUAGCGGUGAAAUGCGUAGAGAUCUGGAGGAAUACCGGUGGCGAAGGCGGCCCCCUGGACGAAGACUGACCGCUCAGGUGCGAAAAGCGUGGGGAGCAAAACAGGAUUAGAUACCCUGGUAGUCCACGCUGUAAAACGAUGUCGAUUUUGGAGGUUGUGCCCUUGAGGCGUGGCUUCCGGAGCUAACGCGUUAAAUCGACCGCCUGGGGAGUACGGCCGCAAGGUUAAAAACUC